rfam:Papilio xuthus contig17407, whole genome shotgun sequence.
ACUAUGACGCGCCCUUGUCAUUCUUCUUGCCCCGUGUGUUUAUACUACUGGACGGAGAACUGAUAAGGGCAUGUCAUGUA